AUAUAUAGUGUAUAUACAGUGUAACACAUCGUUAAUGUCAUUGAAUAGCAUGUAUGACGCCCUUGAUGUCUUACAUCAUGUUACUAGAGAUUUUUUUACCUUCAUUUCCAUUCAAUGUUUUUCAUUCGAUUUUCAGCUCCUUUAUAGUGAGUUUAGUUAUAUCGACAUUUUGAGAGCCUACUGAUAUUGAUACUGACAUAGUCUUAUGUAAGAACCCUCUCCUGUGUUUCAGCUCUGCUUGAAGGGAAGAAAGAGGGCUUCAGCAACUUCCUGCACAAACUGGUGUCCGACCACCAAAUCUUUCAGCACCUAGACGCCCAGACCAUCCUGCUGCAGGAGAGCCUGAGAGAGGAGAGAGAAGAGAGGGAGAAGAGAGAAAGAGAGGAGAGAGAGGGGGGAACAUCCCGUCUGCCAAGUUUGCUGGAGGAGACUCGGGGGAAGCCUUCUGAUAUCCACUACCUGAAGGUCAUCUGCAAAGGAAGCUUUGGGACGGUGGUGUUAGCGAUACACAGACAGAGUGGAAGUAUGUACGCUUUAAAGGUUCUACAGGAACAGGUCAUACUGAGGAAGAAAGAAGUAUCUAUUAUUCCAUUCCAUUUCCGUUAUAUUCUAAUUCCAUUCCAUUCUAUUCCAUUCUAUUUCCGUUCCAUUCUAUUUCCAU